GUCAGUGAAUGCUAUUCUGGAGAACUUGAAGACAGUUUAUUCUCAGCUCCAACAGUCUGCUUUGCAUUAUCAAUUUGUUAAGAAACUCUCUCUCUCUUUUUUUUUCGUGUAGAACUGUGCAAAAAGCAACUUCCAUCCAGACUGUCUGAAUUAUCCAAAAAUUCUGAACUGAUGGCAUCCAAAUGAAUAAGACUUUACAGAGCUGCACUGGGAGAAUUGAUUGGAUUUGUCAGUUUUCCUGUGGAUACGAAGUCCUGGGUGGCUUGACUCCCAAAGAACUGACCACCCGUGAGCUGGAAAACAGACCUCAAAGCAGGAAAGAAACAGAAGUGUCCAAAGAAGAUGUGGAAAACACAACCCAGAAAAAGCUGACCCUCAAGAAAGAAGUCCGGUGAGUGGAGUCGGGGGUAGAUUUCCUGAUGGUUUCUCAAGGCUGCCGGGGUCCUGCUUUCUGGGUGAGAAUGUGAUUGAAGACAAGCAUUGUCUAUUUUACAAAGUCCCAGAGAAUUUGGAUCCCAGAUGUGGUAGACGAUGCUCUUAGAUCUGGGGUUGCAAAGUCCACAUCUACCCAGACCGGGCAGGAAAUGUAAAUGACCGAGUGAACUGAGUGUAAGAUGAUACUAGACAGCUGACACUCAGUCCUGGGGGCUGUGAGGAGAUGGGGGGCUGUGAGGAGAUGG
rnacentral:lncRNA from 1 species